rnacentral:lncRNA from 1 species
AUCGAUGUACAUGUAAUAUAUUGGAAUUUGCCAUUGUCGUCGUACCUACUCCACCCAUGCCACAGAUCACAAUUAUGCUGACUUUUUUGUCCUUUAGAGCAUCCAUGAUUUCCUUUUUACUUAAUAUCCUUGUUUCGAAAGCUCCAAAGUCAUGGGAGUUUUGAAAAGGUAUUUGCACCAAUUGUUUAGGUUUGGCCACAUUUCGAAAUAAUUUACCUUCCUUUUGGAGCUUAGCAACCUCAGUCGUCUUCUCUGUGGCUUUCCAGCCAAGCAAGUAAUGGGUCUACAAUUUGGACAAAUAAAGAAUAGGCACUGCAUUUCAGAAUUUGUUUCACUUUCCAAAACUUCAUAUGCCUGUUUCUUCAAGUCAUCAACCUUUUUCAACCAAUCUAUAACACCGGGUUUAAUAGUUUAUGCAUUUCUUCCUGCUUCAACAACCAAUUUUUGCACUUCAUUUUCCGUAAUUCCAAGACGUUUUACCUCAUACCUCAAAGUUUCAAUUGUUCUAUUGUAGCAUAACAUAUUCUCGAAUUGGCACCAAAUUGGUUUCAUUGCAAACCCCGCGAGGUUCUUAACAAGAGAAAAAGAGAAUGCUUUCUGCCAUUAUCAAUUUUCCAAUUCAAACAGCAGUAUCAAAGGAGCCUAUCAGCAUAAAAAAAUAAAAAAUAAAACACAUUGAAAGGUCUUAGAAUUACAUUCCACCACAAUUUUUAGUAAACUUUAACAAAUCAAUAGCAAAAGAAAAAAGAAUUAUUCCCCAGUAAAUGAUCGAUCCUAUGUGCGAAAUUAUAUGAACUAUAUGGGAUUGAAAAGAAACAUGGUUGAUAGGAUUGAAAGUUCCCCUUUAUGAUAGAUGCAGUGAUUUGUCAUUAAGCUUAUUAAUUUUAACUAGGUGGGUGUUUUGUGUAUCAUUUUGGCAUGUAAUUAAACAAUAAAGCUAGCUUCUGUCUAUGCAACUAUUUUGUUACCUCAGUACGCAACCUUUCGUGAAUCUUUGAAUAUUAGACUAUAUUUCAUCAAUUCUACUCUUUCUUUUCUUUUACUAUUUUUCUUGCAAGCAAGUGGAUUCAGGGCUCUAAUCCAUAGUUUCAUAACAAAUACAUAGUCUAUAUAGGUUCAUUUGAAAAAUGAAAAUAAAAUAAAAUUGUAGAGCUC